rnacentral:rRNA from 1 species
GACGAACGCUGGCGGCGCGCCUAACACAUGCAAGUCGAACGAACGAGAGAGACUUUGCUUUCUCGAGCGAGUGGCGAACGGGUGAGUAACGCGUGAGUAACCUGCCUCAAAGAGGGGGACAACAGUUGGAAACGACUGCUAAUACCGCAUAAGCGCACGACCCGGCAUCGGGUAGAGGGAAAAGGAGCAAUCCGCUGUGAGAUGGCCUCGCUUCCGAUUAGCUAGGUGGUGAGGUAACGGCCCAUCAAGGCGACGAUCGGUAGCCGGGAUGGGAGGUUGAGCCGAGACACUUGGGGUAGGCCACAGACCAGAAUACUACGCGAGGGGGGAGAGGGGGAUACAGCAAAAUGGGGGAAGUGAUGAAGCAGCGCCGAGGGGAAGAGGAAGAAGGUCGUGGGAAAGUGCACUCAUGUUGUACAGGGAGAUAAUGACGGUACUCAAAAAAGAAGUGACGGCUAACUACGUG